CAAUAUAAAUAUGCAUCAGUAUAAAGUAGAAUAGAAGAGUCAAACAAUUUAGAAACCAUCCUACAAAAUGGUUCUCUCCAAACAUUUAUUAAUCGCAUUUAGUUUCGCUAUUUUCUUCUUGAUAUCAAAUGUUCACUGCAUUGAUACUAUUCCGGGUAUUGGCAUAAAAAUGUCGAAAAUAUGCUACGAUACGGUUUCAUGUGCAGGUGACGGAGCUCAAUGCAGAACGUUUUGUACAGGUUUUAAGGCAACAGGGGUUUGUAUUUCUGAAGCUUGUUGUUGUAUAUUUAGAAACAAAAUAUUAAAAUAAUAUCGUUAGAUAAUAUAUAUGUUAAUAAAAGUAAAAGAAUGUAACUAAUAAUAAAUAAACGAUAUUAUGAAAAAAAAUGAUAUUAUGAAA